GGCACUUACGGAGCUUCUGUUUGUUUGAAAACAUUUUCGAUUCGUUGCCAAUUUUCAUAAAACUGCCAAUAUUUGAAAUCUACACAGUUGAUUUCUCGCCUAAAAACUUCUGAGAAGUGUAUUUAAAGUUCUGUUGUUGGCUUCUAAAGAAUAAAAUGGUUUGCGAGAUGAACGUCAUCACGUUUUGUGCGCGGUGUCUUCUGGGACAAGCCAUAUUUGGAAGGUCAACUUCCGUCACGUUUUUCUGCGGUCUGCGGGCUGCAGCUGGAUAUACUUGCUUUAAAGAAUAAAGACAUCCGCCUUUUUUAAACGAGGGAUACGUUACGAUUUCGGCCUUUCAGCGAGCAACGGGCGAGAGUUUACUGCAAACAGUGGAAGCGAAAAGACAUUUACUUUGGUCUUUUAUGGAUCCCAUUUACCUGAGAGGCUGGCACCAACCGAGAGACCCAUGUGAUGCUCUUACUGCAUCAAGUAGCAGCGUAGAUGAAGACCUAGAUUUGGAUGUAGCCAACGAAUUUAUUUUAUCAUUAUUUAUGUUUUUAUUACCGCAUGUUGUUAAAAUUGUUUGUAUUUUCAUAAUAUAUAUGAACUGUUUUGUAUUUAUAAUAUUUUAGCAAUAAUUCCUUUAUAUUUUCAUUAUGUUGUAUUAUCUUAAGUUGUCUACGUUGUAAUCCUUUUUCUUAAUAAAAUCUUUAUAUAUAACUUGUUUGGACGGAUUACCA